GACGAACGCUGGAGGCGUGCCUAAUACAUGCAAGUAGGACGCAGUUGCGAACGGGUGAGUAACGCGUAGGUAAAUGCCUAUUAGAGGGGGAUAACUAUUGGAAACGAUAGCUAAUACCGCAUGCUAGUAGAUGUACCUGCGUUGUAUUAGCUAGUAGGUAUGGUAAUGGCCUACCUAGGCGACGAUACAUAGCCGCCCUGAGAUGUUGAUCCGCCACACUGGGACUGAGACACGGCCCAGAUUCCUACGGGAGGCAGCAGUAGGGAAUCUUCGGCCAUGGGGGGAACCCUUACCGAGCAACGCCUCGUGAGUGAAGAAGGUUUUCGGAUCGUAAAGCUCUGUUGUUAAGGAAGCGGUACUUAACCAGAAAGGGACGGCUAACUACGUGCCAGCAGCCGCGGUAAUAC
rnacentral:rRNA from 1 species